UGGUCCUAGCCUUGAAAUCUAUUAUUACUUUAAUUAUACAUGCAAGUCUCAGCACCCCUGUGAAAACGCCCUUAAAUUCCUAAUAGGAAAAAGGAGCUGGUAUCAGGCGCAAUAAUUAGCCCAAGACACCUAGCUUAGCCACACCCACAAGGGAUAUCAGCAGUAAUCAACAUUGAACAUAAGCGACAGCUUGAUUCAGUAAAAGUAAACAGGGCGGGCAAAUCUGGUGCCAGCCGCCGCGGUUAUACCAUGUGGCCCAAAUUGAUUUCUUUCGGCGUAAAGAGUGAUUUAAGCACUACCACCCUGUAGUUGAACUAUUAUUUAGUUGUAAUAAGCUUAUAUUUAGGAAAUUCAUAAACGAAAGUUACUACACUCAAAACAACUUGAACUCACGAUAGCUGAGACACAAACUAG
rnacentral:rRNA from 1 species